AUACGGAGGGUCCAAGCGUUAUCCGGAAUCAUUGGGUUUAAAGGGUUCGUAGGCGGGUCAAUAAGUCAGAGGUGAAAUCUUGCAGCUUAACUGUAAAAUUGCCUUUGAAACUGUUGACCUUGAAUUACUGUGAAGUGGUUAGAAUAUGUAGUGUAACGGUGAAAUGCUUAGAGAUUACAUAGAAUACCGAUUGCGAAGGCAGAUCACUAACAGUAUAUUGACGCUGAUGAACGAAAGCGUGGGUAGCGAACGGGAUUAGAAACCCUAGUAGUCC
rnacentral:rRNA from 1 species